UAUUGAUCGUCAUUUGAUGAGUAAUUUGUAUUGUAAUUUUCAGUCACAUUUUGCCACCAUGAUUUUCUGUAUCGCAUCGAUAAUUUUCUUGUGCCUUGCGAACUUUCCCUGAUUUUGUGCCUUAGAAUUUCCCUCAAUAUCGAGGCCGGUUUCUCAGAUGAACUGACUGUAAUGUUCAGUAUUGUUUUCUGGUCAAGAAACAGUGGAUAUUUGGUCAUUUUAUGUUUUCAUAUCGACGAUUUUGGAAUGUUAUAUAAGGUUAGGAACUUAGUUUUUGUGUGCACACGAGGCCUGCCUAAGCACAUGCGAUCGCCAUUUUUUCCAUGAUGUUAUGAAUAUUCAUGAGCUGGAUUCCAUAUUUGGGAUUAGCGUAUCCUUAUUUGGAAAUUGCAGUAGUGCUGCAAGGUUUACAGUGUAAUUAGGAACUAUGCAUUUUUCUUUGUUUUAGGUUGAUGAUUUCAGUAUUCCAGACCCAUAGGAAGUUUGAGGACACUUCAUCUUUUGGAGAGCACAGUUCUUUUUACCUCAUGUGGUCCACCCACGACACAGGAAUGAGAAUAAAGCAGUCAAAGUUCACAAAUCCUGUAUUAGUCAGAGGUUAACUUGUCGGAGAGAGGGCGCCCUCGGCGCUCCAUGUUCGUCAUAGU